UACGGAGGGGGGCUAGCGUUGUUCGGAAUUACUGGGCGUAAAGCGCACGUAGGCGGCUUGUAAGUUAGGAGGUAGCAAAGCCCGGAAGCUACAACUCCUGGAAUUGCCUUUAAGACUGCAUCGGCUGCGAAUACAUGGAGAGGUGAGUAGGAAUUCCGAGUGUAGAGGUGGAAAAUUCCGUAGGAUAAGUUCGGGAAAGAACACCCAGGUGGC
rnacentral:rRNA from 1 species